rnacentral:lncRNA from 13 species
CAAGAAUCAGGAAGAGAGGAGUGAAAGAGAAACAGCUGAAAAGAAGGAGCCAAAUAAAAAACGAGAUCCAGCUGGAGGAGUUCAAGCUCGAUAAGCAGGCUUGAAAAAGAGGUCAGGCCCCAGGAGCUGGGCUGGAGCAGCGAGGAGUGUUUUUUCCAAGGGAAGAUGACUGCCUGAGAGGCUGGAGUGAAGUGUCACUUCUUGGCUCACUGCAACUUUGAACUCCUGGUCUUGAGAUCCUCCCACCUAGGUCUUACAAGUAGCUAGGACCAUAGGUUUUCCCAUGCCCUCUUUUGGACUUGAAGGGGGUCAUUGGGAUAAUAAGGCUUGAUAACUCCCUGGACUUAGGAAGCAAGAGAGCAGGAGUCAAGAAAAGCUUUUGUGCUUUUUGGUUUCUGUAGAAAAUAUGAUGGAUUGAGAUGAACUUUUAAAAAACAGGCCUAAUGAAGAAAAGCAGAUUUGAGGAGGAAAGCUUUGGUAGGCAGCCUGAAAUUGCUCAUCAAGGAAAAAGACCAGACUUGGAUUUUAAAUGGCUUCUUCUGAAUGAAGCAAUUAAUGCUAAAAGGAACAUGUUGUCUCCUCAGCAUUUAAAAGUCAAAAGACUGAAAUAUUUUCACAUUCAGUUUGGGAAGGUCCGCA